GACGUAGGGUGCGAGCGUUAAUCGGAAUUACUGGGCGUAAAGCGUGCGCAGGCGGUUUUGUAAGACAGGUGUGAAAUCCCCGGGCUUAACCUGGGAACUGCGCUCGUGACUGCAAGACUCGAGUACGGCAGAGGGGGGUAGAAUUCCACGUGUAGCAGUGAAAUGCGUAGAGAUGUGGAGGAAUACCGAUGGCGAAGGCAGCCCCCUGGGUCGAUACUGACGCUCAUGCACGAAAGCGUGGGGAGCAAACAGG
rnacentral:rRNA from 1 species